AUUACUGCGCAGCUUUGAGUGUCACGUGAAUCUUGUGACAACAGGAAGCAGGAAUGACAGUGUGAAGAUGCCGCUGCCGCUUUGAAACACUUCGUUAUUCAUUUGCAGUAAUAAGGAGCACACAAUGACUUCGAUUCUAAAAGAAACACAGAGCAUAAAAGAAGCGGUGACUUUCAUCAACGCAAUUGAUGUGAACAAGUUCUCCAGGCUGAUCUCUCGCAUCAUACAAAAGCUUCAUCUGAAGGGAGAGCGGACAUUCAGUGAAGAAGAAGAGGAAAAACUCCAGACUGCUCUCUCAUUGGACAAAAAUGCUCUCAGUCUGGUCCUGGAAACUGCUGCCUUUAUACUAGAGCAGGCAGUGUAUCAUAACAUAAAGCCGGCGUCUCUGCAACAGCAGCUGGAGGUGAUUAAUCUAAGCCCAGACAAAGCUGAGGUGUUUUCUCAAACCUGGGCCACUGCUGGGCCUGAGCUGGUGGAAAGACUGAAGCGUAAUAUCUUUGCCCCCAAGAAGCUGGAAUAUGUCGGCUGGCAGUUGAACCUGCAGAUGGCUCAGUCCAGCCAAGCCAGACUGAAGUCUCCCAGUGCCGUCCUCCAACUGGGACUCCACAAUGAAGACUCUGAGACUUUGUCUCAUCAAGAAGAAUUGUCAGAAGCCAUUAGGCGUGUACUGCGAGCUGCAACGGAAUAUUUAGUCCAGCGUUCCAGCAGUGAAAGUUGAAGGAUAAGUUCAGGAAAAUGUCUUCGUUGAGUUUAACCACCAGGAGCUGCUUGAGUUCUACAACAAGCUUGAAAUCGUGCAAGGACAGUUGGAUUCGCUAACUUGAGGCCUGGUGCUCUCUGUACAACCACACACACACACACACACACACACACAGACCAUGUUGUUAGUGUUUCUGCUGACAGCAUUGCCAGCUGUCAGCGGCCUAGCGAUUCCAUUCUUGCUCUGAUUUAUUAUAGAAAAAUGUCAAAUUUGAAGGGAGGAGUUUCUUCCCCUUUUGAGCUCCUUUUAAUCCAGGUUUGUGCUCAUUACUGACAGCUCAGUGUGAUAAAUGGGACUGUGCUUGGACUUUUUAUGGUGGGAAAUUCCUCUCUACAUUGUCACUAUAAAUUGUACUUAAACAAAUUCCUUAGGAACAUUUUUCUAGACUCUCUGGUAAAUUAUUGCUUGAUUGCCCUUUACAUUACUUAAAAGCUGUAAAAUGCUAAAAAUGUGCCAAUUGUCAGUUAUCAUAACAUUUCAUUUGCACCCUAAGAAAAGGAAGAAAAACACCAAGAUAUAUUUAAGUUGAAGCAAAUGGAUUUUGUAACUUUGAGAAUGAACUAUAAUCCAUGCCAUUCCAAUAAAAUCUGAAGUGGAGGUGAAAUCCA